rnacentral:rRNA from 1 species
GCAUAACGCGAAGAACCUUACCUACUCUUGACAUCCAGAGAACUUUCCAGAGAUGGAUUGGUGCCUUCGGGAACUCUGAGACAGGUGCUGCAUGGCUGUCGUCAGCUCGUGUUGUGAAAUGUUGGGUUAAGUCCCGCAACGAGCGCAACCCUUAUCCUUUGUUGCCAGCGGUCCGGCCGGGAACUCAAAGGAGACUGCCAGUGAUAAACUGGAGGAAGGUGGGGAUGACGUCAAGUCAUCAUGGCCCUUACGAGUAGGGCUACACACGUGCUACAAUGGCGCAUACAAAGAGAAGCGACCUCGCGAGAGCAAGCGGACCUCAUAAAGUGCGUCGUAGUCCGGAUUGGAGUCUGCAACUCGACUCCAUGAAGUCGGAAUCGCUAGUAAUCGUGGAUCAGAAUGCCACGGUGAAUACGUUCCCGGGUCUUGUACACACCG